UGAUAAAGAAAUGAUCAACAUCUUUCUGUUUCUCUCAAGGUUGCUUUGUCUGAACCCUGCAUCUUUUCUCGCUGUCUAAAGUAUAAAAUACACUUGUAAACGUAUAGAGGUCAGAGUUCCUUUGAGAGCUCUCCCUGCGAUCACUUGUAUAGCUUUAAAUAAAUCUAGAUGGCUCUGCCAAUUCUGAUACAACCACAACGCGAAGUUUGAUUCCUUCCACAAUUUGGUGUCGUGACUCAGAUAGAGACGCCUGUAGUGAUCGGUUGAGAUAUGGAUUGUCUCCUCACUGAUGCCCUGGCACUAAACUAAGGACCUGCUCCUUCUUGGAGAAAAGGCCAAGAAAACAAUGACUGCACAGGAAAGAAGCUCUGCUCUUCACGUCGAAGGGACCAGGACAAAGCGGGUGCUGCUGCUUCCCCUGCCUGGGAACAAAUGGAAAACAACCCGAACACCAGGUUUUCUACGAAUGUGUGUUCUAGCACCGUGCGCUUAGCCCGGCCUGCUUGGGGGUUUGCUUGAUGGCACAGCGUGAUUUGCUGGGCACGGGGAUGCAUGAGGAUCCACACCUUUAGUGCCAGCAUUCAGUGUUACAGUGACAGGUUUCACGCACUGAUACACAGCUUUAUGGAAGAUUUUGUCCUGCAAAAUUGGGAAUUAUACAUGUAAAAUUACAUUUUAAAUAAA